UACGUAGGGUGCGAGCGUUGUCCGGAAUUACUGGGCGUAAAGAGCUCGUAGGUGGUUUGUCGCGUCGUCUGUGAAAUUCCGGGGCUUAACUCCGGGCGUGCAGGCGAUACGGGCAUAACUUGAGUACUGUAGGGGAGACUGGAAUUCCUGGUGUAGCGGUGAAAUGCGCAGAUAUCAGGAGGAACACCGGUGGCGAAGGCGGGUCUCUGGGCAGUAACUGACGCUGAGGAGCGAAAGCAUGGGUAGCGAACAGGAUUAGAUACCCUGGUAGUCCAUGCCGUAAACGGUGGGCGCUAGGUGUAGGGGUCUUCCACGACUUCUGUGCCGUAGCUAACGCAUUAAGCGCCCCGCCUGGGGAGUACGGCCGCAAGGCUAAA
rnacentral:rRNA from 1 species